GAGCGGUAUUGUUUCUUCGGAAACGAGAGAGCGGCGCACGGGUGCGGAACACGUGUGCAGCCUGCCUUUAUCUGGGGGAUAGCCUUUCGAAAGGAAGAUUAAUACCCCAUAAUAUUUUGAAUGGCAUCAUUUAAAAUUGAAAACUCCGGUGGAUAGAGAUGGGCACGCGCAAGAUUAGAUAGUUGGUAGGGUAACGGCCUACCAAGUCAGUGAUCUUUAGGGGGCCUGAGAGGGUGAUCCCCCACACUGGUACUGAGACACGGACCAGACUCCUACGGGAGGCAGCAGUGAGGAAUAUUGGACAAUGGGUGAGAGCCUGAUCCAGCCAUCCCGCGUGAAGGACGACGGCCCUAUGGGUUGUAAACUUCUUUUGUACAGGGAUAAACCUUUCCACGUGUGGAAAGCUGAAGGUACUGUACGAAUAAGCACCGGCUAACUCCGUG
rnacentral:rRNA from 1 species